rnacentral:rRNA from 1 species
UACAGAGGGGGCAAGCGUUGUUCGGAAUUACUGGGCGUAAAGGGCGCGUAGGCGGCCUGCUAAGUCGAACGUGAAAUCCCUGGGCUCAACCCAGGAAGUGCACUCGAUACUGCGUGGCUUGAGUGUGGGAGAGGUUGGUGGAAUUCUCGGUGUAGAGGUGAAAUUCGUAGAUAUCGAGAGGAACACCGGCGGCGAAGGCGGCCAACUGGACCAAGACUGACGCUGAGACACGAAAAGCGUGGGGAGCAAACAGG